UACGGGGGGGGGAAGCGUUGUUCGGAAUUACUGGGCGUAAAGGGCUCGUAGGUGGCCAACUAAGUCAGACGUGAAAUCCCUCAGCUUAACUGGGGAACUGCGUCUGAUACUGGAUGGCUUGGAUUCGGGAGAGGAAUGCGGAAUUCCAGGUGUAGCGGUGAAAUGCGUAGAUAUCUGGAGGAACACCGGUGGCGAAGGCGGCAUUCUGGACCGAUAUUGACGCUGAGGAGCGAAAGCCAGGGGAGCAAACGGG
rnacentral:rRNA from 1 species